rnacentral:rRNA from 1 species
UAGGGAAUCUUCCACAAUGGACGCAAGUCUGAUGGAGCAACGCCGCGUGAGUGAAGAAGGUUUUCGGAUCGUAAAACUCUGUUGUUAGAGAAGAACAAGGAUGAGAAGAGAAUGUUCAUCCCUUGACGGUAUCUAACCAGAAAGCCACGGCUAACUACGUGCCAGCAGCCGCGGUAAUACGUAGGUGGCAAGCGUUGUCCGGAUUUAUUGGGCGUAAAGCGAGCGCAGGCGGUUCUUUAAGUCUGAUGUGAAAGCCCCCCGGCUCAACCGGG